GGCUAGGGAAAAGGCAUUUUCCCCAUGUGUCGUGGUUUAAGCCCAGCUGGCAACUUGGAACCACGCAGUCGCUCGCUCACUCCCCCCCUCUUCCUUCCUCCCUCACUGCUCCACGUAUGUCCCUCCCAAAGCUGUGCGCUCGGUCGAAGAGGACGACCUUCCCCGAUACAGGUGGUACAGUUCAUCAGUCACAGAUAUAUGGUAGCUGCGCUCCCCUCCUAGAACCUCCAAACAAGCUCAAGGUGCAGUUGUAGGAGAAGGUAGGGUAGUCAAGCUUCCAAGACUGCAGAC
rnacentral:snRNA from 1 species